rnacentral:misc_RNA from 1 species
GAUGAAGAACGCAGCGAAAUGCGAUACGUAGUGUGAAUUGCAGAAUUCAGUGAAUCAUCGAAUCUUUGAACGCACAUUGCACCUCUCGGUAUUCCGGGAGGUAUGCCUGUUCGAGCGUCAUUUGUACCCUCAAGCUCUGCUUGGUGUUGGGUGUUUGUCUCGCCUCUGCGUGUAGACUCGCCUCAAAACAAUUGGCAGCCGGCGUAUUGAUUUCGGAGCGCAGUACAUCUCGCGCUUUGCACUCAUAACGACGACGUCCAAAAGUACAUUUUUACACUCUUGACCUCGGAUCAGGUAGGGAUACCCGCUGAACUUAAGCAUAUCAAUAAGCGGAGGA